rnacentral:lncRNA from 1 species
AUUAUAGCUACUCUCCUCCAUUAAGACGCCCCAUUCCGGAACUGAGGCAUUCGGCUGCUGACGUUCUUGGGGUGAAAAAAAAUGCACAGAAGGACAGGGCGUGAUUGGAUGCACGUGCGUGAGCUGAAUGUUUGAACAGAAGGAGUGAAAGGAUGGAAGCGAGACUGCUCCCGGGUUCUCAGAAAAGGAAUAGUAAAAAUAGGCUUGGCUAAGCAAAGGGUUUAAACCUACUGAGCCACCGGCGGGAGGGGCGCCAGCAGUAGGGCACGAUGAUAGCGGGAUGCCGCAAAGUCGUGUGAAAGAUAAUUGGAAAAGGCUGGUGGGCAGGAGGUCUGGGUUCAAAAAGAGGUGCAUCAUUUAAAUUAUGCACGAAAGUAUGGCCCUUAGCCAUUUCCUGCAUGGCCAAAAGAUAAAAUUUUUCCAAACCUGCACUUAGAAACCUGGUCAUCUGAGAGAUGUAGACUGUUUUACUUCAGUAGCAGCCCAGCCCGAGGAAAAACACAAGGGAAACUUAAAGUUAGUCCCUCUGAGAUCAACAACAUCCUGUAUGGUUCUAUGGAUUAUGUAGCCCCCACCCCCGACCUGCAAGCAUAUAGUUUUAGUGGCAGGUCCUAACAAAGAUAACGAAACAGGGAAAUACAAAAAAAACACAACCUUGCCACAUUCAGCAACAGGAGAAACAUCGGGACUUCUCCCUCCUCCUCCUCCCCAGUAGCAGCCUCAGAAGGGGGGGGAGGUGAGGGUGAAUUCAGUUCCACACGAAAGAGUAGAAGCCGGAGGCAGCCAGGUUUCUUGGCUUCUCCUCCAGUAAUCAGGAAAAAAAAACACAGAAUCACAAAGAAGGAAUGAAAAAGGAGAUAGAGAGAAAAAAGGGUCCUUGAGAAAUUAGGAAAAAUUGCUGACUAUGGAAUCCCACAGAAACAUGCAGGGAAAUGAAAGAUGCAAUAUGUGGAUUGUUGGCAGAGUACAUGUUUGAGAGCCUCUAUUGACCUCCUCAACUUUUUGGGACGAAGGACAAAGAGCAAGUUACAAGGACAGAGGGCUAGAAGCCAUUCCAUUGCUCCUGUCCUCUAGUCCACAAAGAUAUCUCAACACACAGUUGCAUACAAAAUCCAGUUUGAGGCUUAGAGAAACAACUGGGCUGUUAGCAAGGUAAGAAAGGAAUAUUCCUUCUCUAUAGUGUAUGCAUGGUGUGUGUGUGUGUGUGUGUGGUAGCACCAACCAUGCAAUAUUGCCCGGAGGCAAUGGGAUACUUUCCAGCCAGCCAGUCUCUUCUGGCUUGGA